rnacentral:piRNA from 1 species
CUCAUUUUGUGCCAGACCU